AUUUAUAUAGUUUAAAUAAAACAUUACAUUUUCACUGUAAAAAUAAUAUUCUAUAUAUUUAUAAAUA
rnacentral:tRNA from 1 species